GUAGUCCACGCCGUAAACGAUGAUCACUCGUUGUUGGCAAUACAUCGUCAGCGGCUGAGCGAAAGCAUUAAGUGAUCCACCUGGGGAGUACGUUCGCAAGAAUGAAACUCAAAGGAAUUGACGGGGGCCCGCACAAGCGGAGGAACAUGUGGUUUAAUUCGAUGAUACGCGAGGAACCUUACCUGGGCUUAAAUGCAGGAUGACAGACUGGGAAACUAGUUUUUCUUCGGACAGACUGCAAGGUGCUGCAUGGUUGUCGUCAGCUCGUGCCGUGAGGUGUCGGGUUAAGUCCCAUAACGAGCGCAACCCUCAUCAUUAGUUGCCAGCGAGUAAUGUCGGGGACUCUAAUGAAACUGCCGGUGUAAACCGUGAGGAAGGUGGGGAUGACGUCAAAUCAGCACGGCCCUUACGUCCAGGGCUACACACGUGUUACAAUGGCCAGUACAAAGGGCAGCUACCAGGUGACUGGAUGCUAAUCUCUAAAACUGGUCUCAGUUCGGAUUGAAGUCUGCAACUCGACUUCAUGAAGCUGGAUUCGCUAGUAAUCGCGCAUCAGCCAUGGCGCGGUGAAUACGUUCCCGGGCCUUGUACACACCGCCCGUCAAGCCAUGGGAGCUGGGGGUACCUGAAGUCCGUAACCGUAAGGAGCGGCCUAGGGUAAAACUAGUGACUGGGGCU
rnacentral:rRNA from 1 species